rnacentral:rRNA from 1 species
AGUGAACGCUGGCGGUAGGCCUAACACAUGCAAGUCGAACGGCAGCACAGUAAGAGCUUGCUCUUACGGGUGGCGAGUGGCGGACGGGUGAGGAAUACAUCGGAAUCUACUUUUUCGUGGGGGAUAGCGUAGGGAAACUUACGCUAAUACCGCAUACGACCUACGGGUGAAAGCAGGGGAUCUUCGGACCUUGCGCGAUUGAAUGAGCCGAUGUCGGAUUAGCUAGUUGGCGGGGUAAAGGCCCAUCAAGGCGACGAUCCGUAGCUGGUCUGAGAGGAUGAUCAGCCACACUGGAACUGAGACACGGUCCAGACUCCUACGGGAGGCAGCAGUGGGGAAUAUUGGACAAUGGGCGCAAGCCUGAUCCAGCCAUACCGCGUGGGUGAAGAAGGCCUUCGGGUUGUAAAGCCCUUUUGUUGGGAAAGAAAGGCAGCAGGUUAAUACCCCGCUGUUCUGACGGUACCCAAAGAAUAAGCACCGGCUAACUUCGUG